CGCGUAGGCGGGUGGCCAAGUCGGGGGUGAAAUCCUUCAGCUUAACUGAAGAAUAGCCUUCGAUACUGGUCGUCUGGAGGGGGGUAGGGGCGGACGGAACUUCCGGUGGAGCGGUGAAAUGCGUAGAUAUCGGAAGGAACGCCGGCGGCGAAAGCGGUCCGCUGGACCCCCACUGACGCUGAGGCGCGAAAGCCAGGGGAGCAAACG
rnacentral:rRNA from 1 species